rnacentral:rRNA from 1 species
UCACCUGUUUUUCAAAAACAUGUCUUAAAGAAUUAUAAUUUUAAGUCUAAUCUGCUCAAUGAAUUUAAAUAAUUUAAAUAGCUGCAGUAUAAAUAACUGUACUAAGGUAGCAUAAUAAUUUGUUUUUUAAUUAAAAACUAGAAUAAAUGAUUUAAUGAAAUAUAAACUGUCUCAAAAUAAUUGAAUAAAAUUUUUUUUUAAGUAAAAAAACUUAAAUAAAUUUUAUAGACGAGAAGACCCUAAAGAAUUUCUUUAUUUUUAUUUUUUUUUUAAAAAUUUAAAUAAUUUAAUUGGGGAAAUUUUAAAAUUUAAUUAAUUUUUAACUAAUCAAACAAAUAUUCUUGAAUAUUAAUAUUUUUUAAAAAAUUUAAUUUAAAUUACCUUAGGGAUAACAGCAUAAUUUUUUUUUAAAGUUCAAAUUUAUAUUAAAGUUUAUGACCUCG